GUGAAUCAUCAAAUUUUUGAACGCAAAUUGCACUCUCCGGUUUUCCAGGAGAGUAUGCCUUUUUGAGGGUCAGCCCAAAAAAAAUCGACAUUUUUGCUGUUUUAUUGUUACUUUCGUCUGAGAUGGGUUAUCUUAAAUCUCGGUUUAAGCGACUUAAAAAUUUUUUUUACGAUUCUAAGACUGUUUCUAAGAUUUUUCUUGUACGUUUAAGGUAUCGAUUUUUACUAGACGUUACCAUCAUAUCAGAUCGCGUCCCUAAUCUUUCAUUAACUUACCUCAGACAGGUAAGCGUACCCGCUUA
rnacentral:misc_RNA from 1 species